rnacentral:rRNA from 1 species
GACGAACGCUGGCGGCGCGCCUAACACAUGCAAGUCGAACGAGCGAGAGAGAGCUUGCUUUCUCAAGCGAGUGGCGAACGGGUGAGUAACGCGUGAGGAACCUGCCUCAAAGAGGGGGACAACAGUUGGAAACGACUGCUAAUACCGCAUAGCCCACGACCCGGCAUCGGGUAGAGGGAAAAGGAGCAAUCCGCUUUGAGAUGGCCUCGCGUCCGAUUAGCUAGUUGGUGAGGUAACGGCCCACCAAGGCGACGAUCGGUAGCCGGACUGAGAGGUUGAACGGCCACAUUGGGACUGAGACACGGCCCAGACUCCUACGGGAGGCAGCAGUGGGGAAUAUUGCACAAUGGGGGAAACCCUGAUGCAGCGACGCCGCGUGGAGGAAGAAGGUCUUCGGAUUGUAAACUCCUGUUGUUGAGGAAGAUAAUGACGGUACUCAACAAGGAAGUGACGGCUAACUACGUG